UUAAAUUAUUAUUAGUUAUGUUCUUAAAAUUUAGAGAAUUUGGCGGUAUUUUAGUCUGUUUAGAGGAACCUGUUUUUAUUGAACGAUAAACCACGAAUUAUCUUACUUGAGUUUGUAUACCGUCAUUAUUAGAUAAUUUCUAUAGAAUAUAAUUAUUUAAAUAAAAUUUACUUAGUAUAUUAGAUCAAGGUGCAGCAAAUAAGCAAGAAAAAAUGGGUUACAAUAAAAUUUAUUUAUAUGAAUAAAUGUUUUUGAAGGUGGAUUUAAUUGUAUAAAAAUUUAAUAAGUUUGUAUGAUAUUAGCUCUAAAAUAUGU
rnacentral:rRNA from 1 species